AUUGAACGCUGGCGGCAUGCUUUACACAUGCAAGUCGAACGGCAGCGCGGGCUUCGGCCUGGCGGCGAGUGGCGAACGGGUGAGUAAUGCAUCGGAACGUGCCCAGUAGUGGGGGAUAGCCCGGCGAAAGCCGGAUUAAUACCGCAUACGACCUGAGGGUGAAAGCGGGGGACCGAAAGGCCUCGCGCUAUUGGAGCGGCCGAUGUCGGAUUAGCUAGUUGGUGGGGUAAAGGCUUACCAAGGCGACGAUCCGUAGCUGGUCUGAGAGGACGACCAGCCACACUGGGACUGAGACACGGCCCAGACUCCUACGGGAGGCAGCAGUGGGGAAUUUUGGACAAUGGGGGCAGCCCUGAUCCAGCCAUGCCGCGUGCGGGAAGAAGGCCUUCGGGUUGUAAACCGCUUUUGUUCGGGAAGAAAUCCUCUGGGCUAAUACCCCGGGAGGAUGACGGUACCGGAAGAAUAAGCACCGGCUAACUACGUG
rnacentral:rRNA from 1 species